AAACUUGAGAGUUUGAUCAUGGCUCAGAACGUACGCUGGCGGCACGCCUAACACAUGCAAGUCGAACGAAGUAGCAAUACUUAGUGGCAGACGGGUGAGUAACAUGUAGGUAUCUGCCCUUUGGCCUGGAAUAACACGAGGAAACUUGUGCUAAUACCGGAUAAGUCUUUACGGAGAAAGCUUUAUGCACCAUUGGAUGAGCCUGCACUUGAUUAGUUUGUUGGUGGGGUAAUGGCCUACCAAGACUGUGAUCAAUAGCUGAUUUGAGAGGAUGAUCAGCCACAUUGGGACUGAGACACGGCCCAAACUCCUACGGGAGGCAGCAGUGGGGAAUCUUGCACAAUGGAGGAAACUCUGAUGCAGCGAUGCCGCGUGAGUGAAGAAGGCCUUUGGGUUGUAAAGCUCUUUCGUCGGGGAAGAAAAUGACUGUACCCGAAUAAGAAGGUCCGGCUAACUUCGUGCCAGCAGCCGCGGUAAUACGAAGGGACCUAGCGUAGUUCGGAAUUACUGGGCUUAAAGAGUUCGUAGGUGGUUGAAAAAGUUAGUGGUGAAAUCCCAGAGCUUAACUCUGGAACUGCCAUUAAAACUUUUCAGCUAGAGUAUGAUAGAGGAAAGCAGAAUUUCUAGUGUAGAGGUGAAAUUCGUAGAUAUUAGAAAGAAUACCAAUUGCGAAGGCAGCUUUCUGGAUCAUUACUGACACUGAGGAACGAAAGCAUGGGUAGCGAAGAGGAUUAGAUACCCUCGUAGUCCAUGCCGUAAACGAUGUGUGUUAGACGUUGGAAAUUUAUUUUCAGUGUCGCAGGGAAACCGAUAAACACACCGCCUGGGGAGUACGACCGCAAGGUUAAAACUCAAAUGAAUUGACGGGGACCCGCACAAGUAGUGGAGCAUGUGGUUUAAUUCGAAGAUACGCGCAGAACCUUACCAACACUUGACAUGUUCGUCGCGACUCUAAGAGAUUAGAGUUUUCGGUUCGGCCGGACGAAACACAGGUGCUGCAUGGCUGUCGUCAGCUCGUGUCGUGAGAUGUUGGGUUAAGUCCCGCAACGAGCGCAACCCUCACUUUUAGUUGCCAUCAUUAAGUUGGGCACUCUGAAAGAACUGCCAGUGAUAAGCUGGAGGAAGGUGGGGAUGACGUCAAGUCCUCAUGGCCCUUACGUGUUGGGCUACACACGUGCUACAAUGGUAUCUACAACAGGAAGCAAGACUGCGAAGUUAAGCAAAUCCCUAAAAGAUACCUCAGUUCGGAUUGCACUCUGCAACUCGAGUGCAUGAAGCUGGAAUUACUAGUAAUCGUGGAUCAGCGUGCCACGGUGAAUGCGUUCCCGGGUCUUGUACACACCGCCCGUCACACCAUGGGAGUUGGUUCUACCUUAAGGCAAGGUUUUAAACCCUUGACCACGGUAUAGUCAGCGACUGGGGUGAAGUCGUAACAAGGUAGCCGUAGGGGAACCUGCGGCUGGAUUACCUCCUUU
rnacentral:rRNA from 2 species